AUCAGUCAGACAUCAGAUGUGCUAACUUAGAAGAAAUCAAAAUCAAAAUCUCCUCACUAAAUAUUAAGUCUAGUGAUCUUUUGCCAUUGUAGAGAUGCAGGUGCUUUCCUGACGUUGAUCGUUCUCAGCUGGUUAUAGUGGUUCGGUUGCAUCGAAAAGGUACAAUCACUCUAUUGGCAUCGAUGCCCUAAGAUAAAGAUAAGGUUAGAUGAAA
rnacentral:lncRNA from 1 species